rnacentral:lncRNA from 1 species
AGGUUUUCACACGCACUGCAGAGUUUCCAGAGAUAAAGCCCCACAACCAGAGAUGGCAAAGCACCUCCUUUCUCUGCCUCCAGGGAGGAGAAUUCAGCCGAGCAGGAAACUACGGAGUCUCUGAUUGGCUUCUGAGAGCUGGAGCAGUUUGUGAGUGUCAGGGACCCAGGAACCUCAGCCCCAGGCUGUCAUUCCCUUCGGCUUCUGUCUCAGUCCUGCUGCAUCUUAUAAGGCCCCUGGGUGAACUAGGGGCUGGGAGGUGGUGCGUUAUCCCUAGAGCAGCUGGGCCCACAGGCUCACCAGGCGCAAAGCUCUCAAUAAACAGGAGCAUCCAGCAGCAGGACUGGAGUCCACAGGUGAUCUGUCUCUGACCUCAGGUGUCCACAACCAUCCUCUCAGAAGACAGGCAAGCAAGGCAGCUCUCCUGCCCCUCAGCACUGGCCACGCUGGGACACAGUGGGACAUCAGGACUUUAAGCCAUCCUUUAGGCCAAAGAAUCCCCACAUAACAAAUUCAUUGUGUGCAAUAAAGAA